AUUGAACGCUGGCGGCAUGCCUUACACAUGCAAGUCGAACGGCAGCACGGGGCAACCUGGUGGCGAGUGGCGAACGGGUGAGUAAUGCAUCGGAACGUACCUUUCAGUGGGGGAUAACGUCGCGAAAGUUACGCUAAUACCGCAUAUUCUGUGAGCAGGAAAGCAGGGGAUCGCAAGACCUUGCGCUGAUUGACCGGCCGCUGUCAGAGUAGCUAGUUGGGGCGGGAAAGGCUCACCAAGGCGACGAUCUGUAGGGGGUCUGAGAGGAUGAUCCGCCACACUGGAACUGAGACACGGGCCAGACUCCUACGGGGGGCAGUAGUGGGGAAUUUUGGACAAUGGGGGAGACCCUGAUCCAGCCAUGCCGCGUGAGUGAAGAAGGCCUUCGGGUUGGAAAGCUCUUUCGGCCGGGAAGAAAUCGCACGGGCUAAUACCCUGUGUGGAUGACGGUACCGGAAUAAGAAGCACCGGCUAACUACGUGCCAGCCGCCGCGGUAACAC
rnacentral:rRNA from 1 species